GAUGAACGCUGGCGGCGUGCCUAAUACAUGCAAGUCGAGCGAACGGACGAGAAGCUUGCUUCUCUGAUGUUAGCGGCGGACGGGUGAGUAACACGUGGAUAACCUACCUAUAAGACUGGGAUAACUUCGGGAAACCGGAGCUAAUACCGGAUAAUAUUUUGAACCGCAUGGUUCAAAAGUGAAAGACGGUCUUGCUGUCACUUAUAGAUGGAUCCGCGCUGCAUUAGCUAGUUGGUAAGGUAACGGCUUACCAAGGCAACGAUGCAUAGCCGACCUGAGAGGGUGAUCGGCCACACGGGAACUGAGACACGGUCCAGACUCCUACGGAAGGCAGCAGUAGGGAAUCUUCCGCAAUAGGCGAAAGCCUGACGGAGCAACGCCGCGUGAGUGAUGAAGGUCUUCGGAUCGUAAAACUCUGUUAUUAGUGAAGAACAUAUGUGUAAGUAACUGUGCACAUCUUGACGGUACCUAAUCAGAAAGCCACGGCUAACUACGUG
rnacentral:rRNA from 1 species